GAUGAACGCUGGCGGCGUGCCUAAUACAUGCAAGUCGAGCGAACGGACGAGAAGCUUGCUUCUCUGAUGUUAGCGGCGGACGGGUGAGUAACACGUGGAUAACCUACCUAUAAGACUGGGAUAACUUCGGGAAACCGGAGCUAAUACCGGAUAAUAUUUUGAACCGCAUGGUUCAAAAGUGAAAGACGGUCUUGCUGUCACUUAUAGAUGGAUCCGCGCUGCAUUAGCUAGUUGGUAAGGUAACGGCUUACCAAGGCAACGAUGCAUAGCCGACCUGAGAGGGGGAUCGGCCACACUGGAACUGAGACACGGUCCAGACUCCUACGGGAGGCAGCAGUAGGGAAUCUUCCGCAGUGGGCGAAAGCCUGACGGAGCAAGGCCGCGUGAGUGAUGAAGGUCUUCGGAUCGUAAAACUCUGUUAUUAGGGAAGAACAUAUGUGUAAGUAACUGUGCACAUCUUGACGGUACCUAAUCAGAAAGCCACGGCUAACUACGUA
rnacentral:rRNA from 1 species